rnacentral:rRNA from 1 species
GACGAACGCUGGCGGCGUGCCUAAUACAUGCAAGUCGAGCGAUGAAGCUUGGUGCUUGCACCAAUUUGAAGAGCAGCGAACGGGUGAGUAACGCGUGGGGAAUCUGCCUUUGAGCGGGGGACAACAUGGGGAAACGAAUGAUAAUACCGCAUAACAACUUUAAACAUAGGUUUUAAGGGUGAAAGAUGCCAUUGCAGCACUCAAAGAUGAUCCCGCGUUGUAUUAGCUAGUUGGUGAGGUAAAGGCUCAACAAGGCGGUGAUACAUAGCCGGACUGAGAGGGUGGUUCGCCACCUUUGGACUGUGACCCGGCCCAAACUCCCUCGGGAGGGCGCCGGAGGGCAACGUCGGCCAUCGGCGGGAGUCUUGCCGCAAAACGCCGCGGGAGUGAAGAAGGUCUUCGGAUCGUAAAAGUCUGUUUGUAGGGAAGAACGUGCGUGAGAGUGGAACGCUCCUCAAGUGACGGUAACUACCCAGAAAGCGCCGGCUAACUACGUG